rnacentral:misc_RNA from 1 species
CUUGUAGAUGGGAGACGUGUUGAUCCCGGAGCUCCAACGUGGGAACACUUCUGUGACCAUAUGCGCUCGCGUUUCUCGUUUAUGGGACUUCUGUGAUCCUCAGGAUGAAGCAAAGUUGCUCCAUUGUGAUAUGGUGCUGCUUGACGAAGAGGGAAACGGUAUCCAUGCUGCAAUAUUCCCACCAGUCAUACAAAAGUUCAAACCUCUGAUAAAAGAAGGAGUCGUCUACAACAUCACAUACUUCCGGGUCAGAGCCUCGAACAAUUUGUACAAGCCUGUUUUCAAUGAGAACAUGAUUACCUUUACAAACUGGACAAAAUUGGAGGAGGUUGUUGAGGUUCCGCCAGCAUUUCCUGUGCUUACCUACUCACUCACACCAAUAGACCAGCUCCAUUUAUGUGUCGACCACAGAGAGUACUACACAGAUGCCAUUGGAAUUGUCACUUCCAUCUCGGCCGUGGCACCGCACCGAUCCAGAGGGCAACAUACAACCAGCUCUAAGAGGACUAUUUCCUUGUGCAGUGUCAGCAACAACAGUUCGGUAAAUGUUGCUCUAUGGGGUGGGCAAGCUAGCUUAUUCCCUGGAGAACAGAUCUACAACGAUGGCCAGUCCUCUCCACAGAUCCUGAUGUUUGUUGGCAUGCUUGUCAAGAAAUACGCGGAUGGACUGUGCUUGUCUGGCGGCUCACCCUGUAAGUGGUACAUUAAUCCUGAUGUUCCUGAAGCAUGUGC